rnacentral:rRNA from 1 species
UAUGUGAUCGUCUCUCGCAUAUCAAUAAGCGGAGGAAAAGAAACUAACAAGGAUUCCCCUAGUAACGGCGAGUGAAGCGGGAAGAGCUCAAAUUUGAAAUCUUAAAGGGUUUCCCUUUACGAAUUGUAGUUUAAAGAAGUGUUUUCUGUUGAGGUUUUGGUAAAAGUUCUUUGGAAUAGGACAUCAUAGAGGGUGAGAAUCCCGUAUUUGACCUUUACUUUCAACUUUGUGAUACACUUUCAAGAGUCGGAUUGUUUGGGAAUGCAGUCCAAAAUGGGUGGUAAAUUUCAUCUAAAGCUAAAUAUUGGCGAGAGACCGAUAGCGAACAAGUACCGUGAGGGAAAGAUGAAAAGAACUUUGAAAAGAGAGUUAAACAGUACGUGAAAUUGUCAAAAGGGAAGCGUUUGACACCAGUGUUGUUUUUCUGAAAAUCAAUUAAAGAACUGUUUAUGCUAAGCUGUUUAGACUUUAUCAGCUAUCUGUUUAGUUUUGAGCUUUUCUUUAAUGCACUUUUCAGUUAACAAGUCAACAUCAAUUUCUUUUGCUGUAAAAAAGCUUGAGGAAGGUGGCUUGAGAUUCGUCUUAAGUGUUUAUAGCCUCUUGCCUAUGCAGUCGGAGAGAUUGAGGUCUGCAGCGUAGAUCCUUCGGGGCUAAAUGCAUUUGUGCUAAGUUAUAGCAUUUUAUAGACAACUUGUUGACUAUGAUUUGUCUUGUAGCUUACUCGCUUAUGUUAUUUUACCUACGCUUAGGAUGUUGAGCGCAUGUCUCUCUCU